rnacentral:rRNA from 1 species
CACCAGACUCCUACGGGAGGCAGCAGUGGGGAAUAUUGCACAAUGGGGGAAACCCUGAUGCAGCGACGCCGCGUGAGUGAAGAAGUAUUUCGGUAUGUAAAGCUCUAUCAGCAGGAACGAGACAAGACGGUACCUGACUAAGAAGCCCCGGCUAACUCCGUGCCAGCAGCCGCGGUAAUACGGAGGAUGCGAGCGUUAUCCGGAUUUAUUGGGUUUAAAGGGUGCGCAGGCGGAUUUUUAAGUCAGCGGUCAAAUCGUGGGGCUCAACCCCUUCCAGCCGUUGAAACUGGGGAUCUAGAGUGUGCGAGUGGUAUGCGGCAUGCGUGGUGUAGCGGUGAAGUGCAUAGAUAUCACGCAGAACCCCGAUUGCGAAGGCAGCCUGCCGCAGCGUUACUGACGCUGAAGCUCGAAAGCGCGGGUAUCGAACAGGAUUAGAUACCCCAGUACAG